CCUACGGGGGGCUGCAGUGGGGAAUAUUGCACAAUGGGCGCAAGCCUGAUGCAGCCAUGCCGCGUGUGUGAAGAAGGCCUUCGGGUUGUAAAGCACUUUCAGCGGGGAGGAAGGCGGUGAGGUUAAUAACCUCAUCGAUUGACGUUACCCGCAGAAGAAGCACCGGCUAACUCCGUGCCAGCAGCCGCGGUAAUACGGAGGGUGCAAGCGUUAAUCGGAAUUACUGGGCGUAAAGCGCACGCAGGCGGUCUGUCAAGUCGGAUGUGAAAUCCCCGGGCUCAACCUGGGAACUGCAUUCGAAACUGGCGGGCUAGAGUCUUGUAGAGGGGGGUAGAAUUCCAGGUGUAGCGGUGAAAUGCGUAGAGAUCUGGAGGAAUACCGGUGGCGAAGGCGGCCCCCUGGACAAAGACUGACGCUCAGGUGCGAAAGCGUGGGGAGCAAACAGGAUUAGAUACCCUUGUAGUC
rnacentral:rRNA from 1 species